GCCUUGUAUCACUUGUACAUGUGAUUACGUACACACGAUCUACGGUGUCUCUCCCACAACUCUCUCAGUUCUCUCAUUACUGUAAUCAGAGGAUUGGAUGAAUGGAGUCAAACACAACAUACUUUUGAGGCUGAUUCCACUACCCAACUGUCAUUUGAUGAUAUUAGUUCAAUAUGGAUAAAUAUGGACUUGGAGUACAACCUUCCUCGUGUCAUCCAUCGCCAUUGUUUUCUGGUACUUUUACUUCUCAAUCUUCGGAAGAAAUAGAAGCGAUGCGAAGAUAGAUUGUACAGCUGAUAGACAGAACGACUUCAAACAUCUGAAGCUAACUUUGCUAAAGUGUAGAAAUUCAUGGAGAAACAUAGGCCUGAAUCUGAUAAUGAUGAAGAAGAGACUGACUAAAGAGUAGAUUGUUUUGGAAGUUUAUUUAGGAUGUUUGGACAUUUUCUAUGAGAUUUUGACUUGUUUUAAAUAAUGUACUUCUGUUUUUAAUAACAGAUGAAUACUUAUUAGACUUAAUUCGGGUGAUGCUUGAACUUUUAGACUUAUUCAUAUUGAAUGGAAUUUUAGUGUUUAGGAAUGUAUUUGAUGUUU